rnacentral:rRNA from 1 species
GAUGAACGCUGGCGGCGUGCCUAAUACAUGCAAGUCGAGCGGACGGACGAGAAGCUUGCGCCUCUGAUGUUAGCGGCUGACGGGUGGGUAACACGUGCAUAACCUACCUAUAAGACUGGGAUAACUUCGGGAAACCGCAUCUACUACCGGAUAAUAUUUUGAACCGCAUGGUUCAAAAGUUAUUGACGGUCUUGCUGUCACUUAUAGAUGGAUCCGCGCUGCAUUAGCUAGUUGGUAAGGUAACGGCUUACCAAGGCAACGAUGCGUAGCUGACCUGAGAGGGUGAUCGGCCACACUGGAACUGAGACACGGUCCAGACUCCUACGGGAGGCAGCAGUAGGGAAUAUUGCGCAAUGGGCGAAAGCCUGACGGAGCAACGCCGCGUGAGUGAUGAAGGUCUUCGGAUCGUAAAGCUCUGUUAUUAGGGAAGAACAGAUGUGUAAGUAACUGUGCACAUCUUGACGGUACCUAAUCAGAAAGCCACGGCUAACUACGUG